UACGGAGGGGGCUAGCGUUGUUCGGAAUUACUGGGCGUAAAGCGCGCGUAGGCGGCUUUGUAAGACAGAUGUGAAAUCCCCGGGCUUAACCUGGGAACUGCAUUUGUGACUGCAUGGCUAGAGUGCGGCAGAGGGGGAUGGAAUUCCGCGUGUAGCAGUGAAAUGCGUAGAUAUGCGGAGGAACACCGAUGGCGAAGGCAAUCCCCUGGGCCGGCACUGACGCUCAUGCACGAAAGCGUGGGGAGCAAACAGG
rnacentral:rRNA from 1 species